AAAUUGGCUACAGCGUUGCUGUCCGGACAGAGCAAAAAAAACAAGGCAUCAGUAUUGUUGAGUAUUAGCUUGUACCUGGUUCGGAGGCUAAGUUUGCCGGAGAAGGCAGGGGUGAGCCACGGUGGCUGCCCGGCUGUGCACCGGCGCCGGAGUUUGGACCAAGACAAAGACAGGAGCUGUCCGCGGUGCUGAAUCGGCGGCGCCGUCGCCGGAGCAAGGGGGCUUCUGUAACCAGCCCUCUGCUCAUUUACUCCCCAUCCUUCUAGCUCCCCUUCGCUCUGUGACUCUUGCCUUCCCCUGAAUUUAUUUCCCUUUUGGGGGACUCACCUUAGAACCUGCGCCCUGUACACAGGUGUAUAUACAUAUAUCAAAGAACAAAACGAUUGAUUGAAAACGGUGUCUUCUCCUUUCUUCCCAAAUAAAUGAUGUUAGAAAGGUUUAUUUUAACUGUACCCUAAAACGGAGAGAAAUGGAUAUUUCUACUCCUAAAUAAAUGGAAAUUCAUGUUAAAAACAAUAGAGCUAACCUAUAACAAAUGUCACGAA
rnacentral:lncRNA from 1 species